AUUGGUUUCCAUGAGAGGUUACAUUGUUUACUAUGUUUAGAACUUUUGUUGGAACAACCUUUACAUUUUUUUUCGACGCCUUUUAAUUUUAAAUAGCAAUAAUUAUUUCUCGCAUCUUGUUCGCAGAUGAUUCAAGGCGUUCAGAAACGCUUGUCGAGUUGUCGAAAAAGCUCUCCAAAAAUGUCUGGAAUGAUCUGACACAUCAUCGAAAAACAAUGCAAGAUGUGAGCAGCAAAAAUCCUCUAUUUCGCAUCUUAGGAAUAUCCAAGUUGCAAGAACCAGCGUUUGAGUCAUCGCUGAACCAUUGCCCGCAACCCCCGCGUCUUCCCCGUGUUGUGGAUUCUCGCUGUGGAAGAUAAAAUGGAGCAGGAGUAUCCAAGUUGCAAGAACCAGCGCUUGAGUCAUCGCUGAAUCAUUGGUCGCAACUCCCGCGGCUUCCUCGUGUUGUCGAUUCUCGCUGUGGAAGAUAAACUGGAGAUCGACUCAAUAAAGAAGAUUUCUUGAUGGCAUCUCGUGAGACAUCGCACACAACCCUACGAUAAAAGCAAUACGCAAAAUCUAUUUGUCCUUUCUUAGAACAAGGGCAUUGUGUAGAAAUAAAUACGUUUAAUUAAAUAAAAGGAAGGUUAUGAAACAA